rnacentral:rRNA from 1 species
UACAGAGGGUGCGAGCGUUAAUCGGAAUUACUGGGCGUAAAGCGCGCGUAGGUGGAUAUUUAAGUCGACUGUGAAAGCCCUGGGCUUAACCUGGGAACGGCACUCGAUACUGGAUAUCUAGAGUAUAGUAGAGGGAAGUGGAAUUUCUGGUGUAGCGGUGAAAUGCGUAGAUAUCGGAAGGAACACCAGUGGCGAAGGCGGCUUCCUGGACUAAUACUGACACUGAGGCGCGAAAGCGUGGGGAGCAAACAGG